rnacentral:rRNA from 1 species
CCUACGGGCGGCAGCAGUGGGGAAUAUUGCACAAUGGGGGAAACCCUGAUGCAGCGACGCCGCGUGAGUGAAGAAGUAUCUCGGUACGUAAAGCUCUAUCAGCAGGAGAGAAAAUGACGGUACCUGACUAAGAUGCCCCGGCUAACUACAUUCCAGCAGCCGCGGUAAUGCGUAGGGGGCAAGCGUUAUCCGGAUUUACUGGGUGUAAAGGGAGCGUAGACGGCGCUGCAAGUCCGGAGUGAAAGCCCAUGGCUUAACCAUGGUACUGCUCUGGAAACUGUAGAGCUUGAGUGCGGGAGGGGCAGGCGGAAUUCCUAGUGUAGCGGUGAAAUGCGUAGAUAUUAGGAGGAACACCGGCGGCGAAGGCGGCCUGCUGGACCGUAACUGACGUUGAGGCUCGAAAGCGUGGGGAGCAAACAGGAUUAGAUACCCCGGUAGUC